rnacentral:rRNA from 1 species
GCAGCGGAUCGCGAAGGGAGAUAUUAUAUACCCUGUUUAUUUACCUUUGUUUGCUUUGGCGGGCCGUCCGUAAGGCGUCGGCUCCGGCUGAUCGCGCCCGCCAGAGGACCCAAACUCUUUUAUCAGUGAUGUCUGAGUACUAUAUAAUAGUUAAAACUUUCAACAACGGAUCUCUUGGUUCUGGCAUCGAUGAAGAACGCAGCGAAAUGCGAUAAGUAAUGUGAAUUGCAGAAUUCAGUGAAUCAUCGAAUCUUUGAACGCACAUUGCGCCCGCUGGUAUUCCGGCGGGCAUGCCUGUUCGAGCGUCAUUAUGACCAAUCAAGCUCUGCUUGGCCUUGGGGCCCGCUAUACCGGCGGCCCUUAAAACCAGUGGCGGUGCCGUCUGGCUCUAAGCAUAGUAAUACUCCUCGCUAUAGAGUCCAGGCGUCCACCCGCCAGAACCCCCAACUUUCUCAAGGUUGACCUCGGAUCAGGUAGGGAUACCCGCUGAACUUAA